CUGCCCCUCCUCCACUUUCUCUCUCUCCAAAAAUAAACAUUAAAAAAAUUUUAAAUGUGUACCUGAACAGAGGAGCUUGUCAAACACCAGUACUUCACUAAAGGUGAGGGAGAACAAAGAAAGCCCAGAAGAACCUAGCUUCAAUACAGACCUCUUGAAUAAGACAUCCCCAGAAGCCUGCUUCUGAAGGAAACAGUGGAAUAUAAAAGCCCAAACUCUAUCCUGUUAUGAUUUUGCUGACAAUUAGUCUUAGGAAUGUAAAUAUGACCAAACCCAGGGCAAAAUUACUUUUUCUUAAAGCCAGUGCAUUCACUUUGUAAUGGAAUAAUGCAGGUGGAUCACAAAGAAAUGUAUUAUUAUAAUUAAGAGACAUGUCAACAGAACAUAUCCCUUUGGGAGAAUGCCUGAAAAUAAGCAGAAUCAAGGGACUUAUUUGUUUAUUUCAGUUGUUACAGCUGAUCAGAUUGGGGAGAACUUUGUAACUUCUUUAAUAAUUAAGCCGAGUUAAACCAUCAAUGGUCAUAAAUUAACUCAAACCAGUGACCAAGUCUACUAAAGCCGGCGUGUGUGUGUAUAUACAUGUAUAUAUAUUGGGUUGCCAUGAUAAUACAUUGUGAAGUGUGGAAAGAGAAAAGGUAGAAAUUCUAGUCAAUAGCAGAAAGGAAGUAUGUGUCAAUUCUCCUUCCCCCAUUCUUUCUGAAUCGUUGUCUGUCUUCCGGGGCUAGUAAAGAAACUUAAACCCCAAGCAUUUGGCCUGCCAUUUCCGUAGAUUAGCCUUUGAAGAUGUGAGCGGCGCCACGUCCAAUGUGGAGCUUGAACUCAUGACCCUGGGAUCAAGAGUCGCACGCUCUACCCUACUGAGCCAGCCAGGCGCCCUCACCUUUUUAGAGAGGGUGAAGUGUAAUAGGCAAUUAGGAGAGGGGGGGCCCUAUUUAAGACUCAGAAGGUUCAAAUUUAAAAUUAUUCAUGACACUCAACCUCUUUUUCCUCCUGCUUUAUGGCUGGAAAUAGUCAAAUGAAGGAAAGCUACAGAAAAUCCCCAAGAUGCUUGGGAAAUAAAAUAUUUACACAUA